rnacentral:tRNA from 1 species
GCCUGGGUGGCUCAGUUGGUUGAGCAUCUGACUCUUGAUUUCCAAUCAGGUCAUGAUCUUACAGUUUGUGGGUUCAAGCCCUCUGUAGGCU